CACGUAGGGUGCAAGCGUUGUCCGGAAUCAUUGGGCGUAAAGAGCUCGUAGGCGGCUUAGUAAGUCGGAUGUGAAAGCCCCGGGCUCAACCCGGGAAGUGCACUCGAUACUGCCGAGCUAGAGUAUCGGAGAGGUUGGUGGAAUUCUCGGUGUAGAGGUGAAAUUCGUAGAUAUCGAGAGGAACACCGGUGGCGAAGGCGGCCAACUGGACGAAUACUGACGCUGAGACUCGAAAGCGUGGGGAGCAAACAGG
rnacentral:rRNA from 1 species